CACAGCCAGUGUGGGGGGUGCAGAGAAGCUUCUAGAGUGCCUACAGUCAGAUCUGAUUAGAUAAAAACGGGCCUCUCGUAGAGACCCAGCCCCAUUUUUGUGUGGGGGUCUCUUGGAGUACGAGCUUAGCCACUGCCGCCAGGAGAGCCCCCCUCCCUGGGAUGGAGACUCCGCUUGCCUCGCCGCCACGGGUUUGUUUUUAUUCCCUCUGUUGUUCAGAGUCUUGUUGACAUUCUGUAAGCUUCCAUGAGGAGUGAGAGUCUCCUUUGCCUGGGAAGUUUUCACUGUACUGCGCAAAUUUUGUGUUUGAGGACUCUUCCUUAGAUCUGGGACACCAUCUACAGAAGCCUCCUCAAGAAUUAAGACACCUGGCCUCGUUGUCCCACAUAUGCCAACAAUGAAUUCUGGUGGAUCCCAGGUAGUUCCUGUCUGGAGGAUGUUGUCUUGGGACUUAUUGAUGUUAGCCAUUA